rnacentral:rRNA from 1 species
GACGAACGCUGGCGGCGUGCUUAACACAUGCAAGUCGAACGGAAAGGCCCUGCUUUUGUGGGUUGCUCGAGUGGCGAACGGGUGAGUAACACGUGAGUAACCUGCCCUUGACUUUGGGAUAACUUCAGGAAACUGGGGCUAAUACCGGAUAGGAGCUCCUGCUGCAUGGUGGGGGUUGGAAAGUUUCGGCGGUUGGGGAUGGACUCGCGGCUUAUCAGCUUGUUGGUGGGGUAGUGGCUUACCAAGGCUUUGACGGGUAGCCGGCCUGAGAGGGUGACCGGCCACAUUGGGACGGAGAGACGGCCCAGACUCCUACGGGAGGAAGAAGUGGGGAAUAUUGCACAAUGGGCGGAAGCCUGAUGCAGCAACGCCGCGUGCGGGAUGACGGCCUUCGGGUUGGAAACCGCUUUCGCCUGUGACGAAGCGUGAGUGACGGUAAUGGGUAAAGAAGCACCGGCUAACUACGUG